rnacentral:rRNA from 1 species
GAUGAACGCUGGCGGCGUGCUUAACACAUGCAAGUCGAACGAACCUUCGGGUUAGUGGCGGACGGGUGAGUAACGCGUGAGAAUCUGCCCUCAGGAGGGGGAUAACGGCUGGAAACGGCCGCUAAUACCCCAUAUGCCGAGAGGUGAAAUGAAUUUCGCCUGGGGAUGAGACUCGCGUCUGAUUAGCUGGUUGGGGGGGUACAGGCCUACCAAGGCGACGAUCAGUAGCUGGUCUGAGAGGAUGAUCAGUCACACUGGGACUGAGGCACGGCCCAGACUCCUACGGGAGGCAGCAGUGGGGAAUUUUCCGCAAUGGGCGAAAGCCUGACGGAGCAACGCCGCGUGAGGGAUGAAGGCCUCUGGGCUGUAAACCUCUUUUCUCAAGGAAGAAGAGCUGACGGUACUUGAGGAAUAAGCCACGGCUAAUUCCGUGCCAGCCGCCGCGGUAAAAC